rnacentral:rRNA from 1 species
UACGUAGGGUGCGAGCGUUAAUCGGAAUUACUGGGCGUAAAGCGUGCGCAGGCGGUGAUGUAAGACAGUUGUGAAAUCCCCGGGCUCAACCUGGGAAUUGCAUCUGUGACUGCAUCGCUAGAGUACGGUAGAGGGGAUCGGAAUUCCGCGUGUAGCAGUGAAAUGCGUAGAUAUGCGGAGGAACACCGAUGGCGAAGGCAAUCCCCUGGACCUGUACUGACGCUCAUGCACGAAAGCGUGGGAGCAACAGG